GACGAACGCUGGCGGCGUGCUUAACACAUGCAAGUCGAACGGAAAGGCCCUGCUUUUGUGGGGUGCUCGAGUGGCGAACGGGUGAUUAACACGUGAGUAACCUGCCCUUGACUUUGGGAUAACUUCAGGAAACUUGGGCUAAUACCGGAUAGGAGCUCCUGCUGCAUGGUGGGGGUUGGAAAGUUUCGGCGGUUGGGGAUGGACUCGCGGCUUAUCAGCUUGUUGGUGGGGUAGUGGCUUACCAAGGCUUUGACGGGUAGCCGGCCUGAGAGGGUGACCGGCCACAUUGGGACUGAGAUAGGGCCCAGAGUGCUACGGGAGGCAGCAGUGGGGAAUAUUGCACAAUGGGCGGAAGCCUGAUGAAGAAACGCCGCGUGCGGGAUGACGGCCUGCGGGUUGUAAACCGCUUUCGCCUGAGACGAAGCGUGAGUGACGGUAAUGGGUAAAGAAGCACCGGCUAACUACGUG
rnacentral:rRNA from 1 species